GCGCUCCGGCUGCGGGGCCGGUGAAGGCGGUCUGACGGAAUUUUCCUGCUGAGAACUUCACCGCCGCCGCCGCCGCGCCCCCGAGGCCCGCCGCCGCCCGCUAACGGGACCCCCGCGAGCGCGUGAGGGCCCUGGGCCGCGGGCCGGCGGCGGCGGCCCCUCAGUAUGGCCCGCGGGGGUCCCUCCCGGCCCUGAGCGGCGGCGGCGCCUGCACCGCGGAGUCCGCGCGGCGCCCGAAAGCCCGGCCAGGACGCGUGGCGGCGCGGCGGGCGGCCGACUCCAACGUUGAGCGCAGGCCGGCGGGCGGGUGGUGGCCGCUCCGGACGCUCCAGCUGCACUUGCUCCGGGCGCUGGUGCUCGCAUCUGCUACUUCCCUGCGGCAAAUAGGACACGCGCAUUUUUCGGCUAACCAGCGAUCGAUGCAGUAGAUAUGAAAACUGUGGGAGCAAGUCCUCUAGAUUCGUCAUCAUCAUAUAAAAUGAACUGUUCCAGAUCAAUGGACGGCCAAGAGUUACUUUCUUCAAAUAUUAUUGGGGUCAUUUGUCUGCUCUGUUCGAAGGGCGCUGUUGGUGGGCCUGGUGAUAAGCUGCUUUCAUCACUGUCGUCAAACGUCACUGAACUAAUUUCUGAAUUUGCAUCACUGGAGCUGGAACUGGACAUAGGGCUGGAAUUGCUUAUAGGCCCACAACUAGAGCUUGAAGUACAAAUUAUUGUAGAAGUCGAAGAGGAAUCCCAUCUAGGAUAUGAAUUGAAACGAGAACUCCUGCUGUCCUCAGAGCUCUCUCUUACAUAUGGUGAUAGGCCUUUCCACGUCUGGAAUUGAACGUGAGACACGAGGUUCUAAAUCACUGUCACUGUCUGUAAGGUUCCUUGAAUAACUGAAUCCUGUCAUGGACCUGCUGUUAUUUGCACCAGAUGCAGUAUCAUUUAAAUCAAUAUUUAAAAUUCUGUGACCAGGACUUCUGAUGGUACUGACAUGAGCUCUUGCAUCUACCUGCUCAGAAUGUGAGAACAUAUGCCUAUGUCUUCAUUCAUUUUCUAAGGUGACAUUUGGUAUCUCAGAUGUUAAUUGAGCUCUAUAAGCUGUGCUGUCUAAAAGACCCCUGUCUGGCAGCUCACACUCAGGUAUUUGCUGCCUUGGUGUUACUUCAGCUUGAGGGCUCUGUCUCAUUUACCAGAGGCUGCUCAGCAGUCUGAGAUAAUACAGCAUCAUGAUUUCCAAAAAGUUCUCUCAGUGAAUCCAGAGCUGACAUACUUAACAGUCCUUGCUCUGGUUCUCCGAAGGUCUGGGUGCUUCUCCAAGGGUCUGGGUGGUUCUCCGAAGGUCUGGGUGCUUCUCCGAAGGUCUGGAUGGUUCUCCAGCUUCUCCGAUGGUCUGGGUGAUUCUCCAAGGGUCUGGGUGCUUCUCUGAAGGUCCAGGUGGUUCUUCGAAGGUCCUGGUGGUUCUCCGAAGGUCUGGGUGCUUCUCUGAAGGUCUGGGUGGUUCUCCGAAGGUCUGGGUGGUUCUCCAGCUUCUCCGAUGGUCUGGGUGAUUCUCCAAGGGUCUGGGUGCUUUUCCGAGGGUCUGGGUUCUUCUCCGAAGGUCCGGGUGGUUCUCCGAUGGUCUAGGCUCCUGCUGCUGCUUCUUUGCUGACCUCUGGUAGGUGGGACUUGCAUCAGUGGUUUAUUUGUUCUUCCUUCUGAUCUAGAUGGUCUUGCAAAUAAUGAUUCCGAUUGUGGAUUUUCCAUUUGCCUUGAGCUGUUUUCCAAACUUUCUUGGGAAAGUCUUGUGCGUAGUCUAUAUUCAUUCUCUGGAUUUGGGCUCCCAUCAUUAAUGUUAUUUAUAGCAGUUAUUUGUAAAUUGAGUACAAAAUUGUUCCUGGUUGGAAUAUCUGGCUUGCUCCUCCCCAAGGCUGGUUUUCUCUGUGCCCACUUCUCACAUUUUGAGUUUGUUCUGAAGAGAUAAGCCAUUCAUUCUAUUAAAGAGCCAUCACUCUCCUCAUCAUUGGAAGACUGUAUCUACUAACAAAAUGGGGUAGGGGAGCAGAAACGUAAAACCAAAUAGAGCCAUCACAAAAUAGCACUCUGAAACUUUUUUUCAAAAACACAGAGAAAACAAGAACUUAAGUACUCGGAUAUUUUAAACAGAUUUCACAUUUAUAGAGUUAAUGUGUUGCAAACUAUACUGUCUAGAUUUACAAAUAAAGGGAGGAAAGUUUCAAUUCCAUCUGAAAAGAGCAAACUAAUCCUAGAUGAUUUAGAAAAUUGUUUUUAAAGAAAUCUGGUGGAAGUCUGUAUUUUAUCAUAUACACAACCUUGUGCACCACUGUGAGAGGAAUGUCAAGAAACAUUUUUUCACUCUACUGUCAAAACACUAAUGCAAUUAAACAAGGUAAAUACCAGUUAAGGUACAACACUAGUAUUUUAGUUCAGUUUGCAUUGUGGUCUAAUUCUCAUUAGUCUACAACGUUACUUACUCUAGGUUCUCGACUUAAGUACUUUGAUAAUAUAUAAAGGUUUUAAAAAAUUUAAGAAUGUUGUAGUCAUUGCCCAAAUAUAAACAAGGUUUAUAGGUUUAAAA